ACGCACAGUUCAUUGUCCUGCUCUUUAUUUUUUGAGAGUAGUGAUAUUUCUGUUGUGCAAGAAAAAGCUGGAGGUAAAUUAGCAGAGUGGCUACUUGGUGCCGUCUCUGCCAGUCCCCUUCACACACAC